rnacentral:RNase_P_RNA from 2 species
CCAGUUGGCCGGGCAGCCGCGCCUUGCAAGGGUCGAAAGGCCGCAGGGUGAGGAAAGUCCGGGCUCCACGGAAACACGGUGCCGGAUAACGUCCGGCGGGGGCGACCCCAGGGAAAGUGCCACAGAAAGCAAACCGCCUUCCUUGGAAGGUAAGGGUGAAAGGGUGGGGUAAGAGCCCACCGCGGUCCUGGCGACAGGACCGGCACGGUAAACCCCACCGGGAGCAAAACCGAAUAGGGAUGACGCGGGCCGCGCAAGCGGUCCAGCCCGUUUCCGGGCCGGUCAUCCGGGUGGGUUGCACGAGGCCUGGCGCAAGUCCGGUCCCAGAUGAAUGGCUGCCACGUUCCGGCGAAAGCCGGAGCCAUACAGAACCCGGCUUACAGGCCAACUGGCAAA